CAGUGUGCAGGUGAUGGGGCUCACCGCAACCGCGGCCUGUGCCGCUGACGGUCCCUGGUCCACG
rnacentral:ncRNA from 1 species